rnacentral:rRNA from 1 species
GACGAACGCUGGCGGCGUGCUUAACACAUGCAAGUCGAACGGAGUGGCGAACGGGUGAGUAACACGUGGGUGAGCUGCCCUACACUUCGGGGUAAGCCUGUGCAACUGGGUCUAAUACCGGAGAGUUUGGGGUGCGCCCGCGGCCUAUCAGCGUGUUGGGGGGGUAAUGGCCUACCAAGGUGGCGACGGGUAGCCGGCCUGAGAGGGUGGACGGCCACAUUGGGACUGAGACACCGGCCAGACUCCUACGGGAGGCAGCAGUGGGGAAUAAUGCACAAUGGGCGGAAGCCUGUUGCAGCGACGCCGCGUGGGGGAUGACGGCCUUCGGGUUGUAAACUCCUUUCACCAUCGACGCGGUAGAUGGAGAAGAAGCACCGGCUAACUACGUGCCAGCAGCCGCGGUAAUAC